AGCAGAUGGAAAUGAACUUACUUGAUGUCACACAAAAGGGCCACUCCUCUCAGGAUCCAGUGAUCCGGGGACAACACUGUUCGUAAAUAUACCACAGUGAUGAAGGUCAAAUCAGUUCGCCUGGGUUUCUUGUAAAUAGGACACACAUACAGCUUGGGGUCCUUGGGUGCCGUGGAGUUAAUGGCAAAGAUGUGGAGCACGGGUAACUGCGUGAAGAGUACCUUGGGGGUGGAUUCCAUGAGCUUCCCAUUCCGUCUGUCCCAGGCUGCUCCAUCCAUGUAGAGCCCAUAAAUAUACACACCUUCCUGG
rnacentral:lncRNA from 1 species